rnacentral:snRNA from 1 species
UGGUGUGAGUGUGACCUAACUGUGACAUCUGUCACUCCACUGGUCACCGGGGAUGAUUCAGCACAUCUGACUGCAUAAGAAGAUAUUCCCAUCCUCCCUCCCUUCCCCACAUCUAUCUCUUCAAGAGCUGAAUGUUCAUUUAAAUAGGACAACAUUACAUAGUAGAGAAUCAUUCUUCAACCAAGGUUAUAGGAACCUCCCGUUAGAAGGUUUAAACAGGAUUUCUAACGUCCAGUAUACUUCAAAGGAUCUUUAAUUGGCCUUCAUAACAGAGUGUUGCAUGUAGAGAUUUUUAGGACACAUUUCCUCCAU